rnacentral:rRNA from 1 species
GACGAACGCUGGCGGCGUGCCUAAUACAUGCAAGUCGAACGCAGUGGGGACGGGUGAGUAACACGUGGGUAACCUCCCAUCAGAGGGGAUAACACUUGGAAACAGGUGCUAAACCGAUACUGAUGGAUGGACCCGCGGUGCAUUAGCUAGUUGGUGGGGUAACUGCUCACCAAGGCCACGAUGCAUAGCCGACCUGAGAGGGUGAACGGCGAGAAGGGGACUUGUGAACGGCCCAAACUCCUACGGGAGGAAGCUGUAGGGAGUCUUCGGCAAGGGACGAAAGUCUGACCUAGCAACGCCGCGUGAGUGAAGAAGGUUAUCGAAUCGGAAAACUCUGUUGUGAGAGAAGCGGUAUCUAACCAGAAGGCCACGGCUAACGACGUGCCAGCAGCCGCGGUAAUAC